rnacentral:rRNA from 1 species
AACGAACGCUGGCGGCAUGCCUAACACAUGCAAGUCGAACGAGACCUUCGGGUCUAGUGGCGCACGGGUGCGUAACGCGUGGGAACCUGCCCUUAGGUUCGGAAUAACUCCCCGAAAGGGGUGCUAAUACCGGAUAAUGUCUUCGGACCAAAGAUUUAUCGCCUUUGGAUGGGCCCGCGUUGGAUUAGCUAGUUGGUAGGGUAAAAGCCUACCAAGGCGACGAUCCAUAGCUGGUCUGAGAGGAUGAUCAGCCACACUGGGACUGAGACACGGCCCAGACUCCUACGGGAGGCAGCAGUGGGGAAUAUUGGACAAUGGGCGAAGGCCUGAUCCAGCAAUGCCGCGUGAGUGAUGAAGGCCUUAGGGUUGUACAGCUCUUUUACCCGGGAUGAUAAUGACAGUACCGGGAGAAUAAGCUCCGGCUAACUCCGUG